CGGCACGAAGUCGUCAGGUCGUUUUAUUUCUUUUGUUUUAUUUGCGUAUUAAAAAAAGAAAAAAAAAUCCUAAUAAAGAGAACAGAGGGGAGGGGGAAAAGUUUUGAAACUCUUCCCAGCUGUUCCAUAUGGUGGGUGAAGGCUGAAUUUCACGCACGAUGUCUGUGUGCCCUGUGGUGAUGCUGCUACUGCAUCUAUCGGCGAGGAUUACCCCAUCUCCCGAUCGCGUUCUUUAAUGCCAAACCAAAAGAUGAGGGAAUUCCCCACGUCAUUCUCCCCGGCCAAAGAGGUCUGCAGGAAAUCUGAAUUUCUCGCAGAGCCUCUGCUUUUAUUCCUUGCUUUUGGUCCUUUUUGGGCACACUCAAAAGCACAUGCAAGCCCUCCCCUAUAUUAACCGGGAGGUGUUAUUUUAUCGGCGCGGUGUGAAAAAUAUCAGGCUUAUAGCACCCAGUUAAUUACUCUCAAAACUCAUGCGUUUUGGGAAGGAACUCGAGGCCAAAUCCCUAUGAGCUGCUCCUCGUGUGCGUAAUCCCGUCUCCUGCAAAAGCCCUAUUGAUGGCGGCCGCCAGCAUCCAGCCCAACGCGGGACGCCGAGGACGGGCGUUCAUCCAGCACGACAAGGGCUGCUGGAAGAGAUCCCCGCCGGGUACAGCUCCAUCUGCCUCCAACACUGCCUGGGCUCCAUGGACAGACACCACUAUCACCUCGCGAGAGGAGCAGAGGAGUUUACCAACAUACCCUAUUACAUCCUGACGCCAUCAGGCUAACUCUGCCAGCUGCUGCAGCACUCCGAACACAUAAGAUUUGCUCCCAUUUCCCUGGUGCACAGUGAUUCUGGGAAGAGGAAAUGGAAGAUCUGCCCAUUGCCAGCAAAGCGGGAUGUGGCUUUGUGAACAUCACUGGUUUGGCCUCGUGCCUCAGUUUCCCCAGUGUGUGCGGAGAGACUUUUGCCUUUCCAGCAGCACCGUAAUAAGCGAAACAAGUAUAAUAAUAACAUUUACCACUAAUAGCUUUUACGACUAAUAAUUUUGCAGUCCUUAAUGGAAGCAUCUCUAUGGUGAUUCUGCAGGAUUAGGGCAUCCCUUUUGCCCCAAGCAGCCCCUAAGGACGAAGCAACGCCAAGAUCCAGCCGAAAGAACAUGACCAAAGUCAGAGUACAGAGUACAGAAGAGCCAGAAAGUGAGCAGAAGUCAGAGGCUAGCAUGGAAACUGCUACACCAUCUGUCCUCUCUGCUUGCUCGAAAGACUCUUCGCAAUUAGGGCAUAACUGAGUAUACGACAUUGUUUUCCUGCACUGUAUUCAAGCUCCAUUCUCACUCGUUAUAAUGAGCUCAUUAUUGAUUUGUGGAGCUUCCCCUUUGAGCUUCUGUGCCUUUCAAAACACGUAGCCAACGUUCAGGCAAUAAAACGGAUACUCAUGGCAUGCUGUAUAUGUGUCGCAGUGCCUGUCGUAUGUUGUGAUACAUGGGAUAGCCAUCUUCUGCCACUAUUUACAGAAUCAGAGGAGAACAAGGAAGCGAUCAGCAUGGCAAAGCCAAUGAGGCUCCUUCUUAGCAUCACGACGGUCGGCAUACUGGAAAUCGGAGUACUGCACCAUCCAAAACUAUUCAUGGAAGUGGGUGAAAAGCAGAAAACAAAAAUCUUAAUUCAUUUGGAUGCUCUUUUGAUGGAUGCAUUUUUGUUCAUUUGUUUGCUUGUUUUUGUUGUUUUUUUAUACCAGUAUGUUUACUUCACUUCUUCUACCCAUGGUGACUAGGGACGUGCUUAGUGGGCAUGGUGGGGAUGGGUUGGGGUUGGACACGGUGAGCUUAGAGGUCUUUUCCUACCUUAAUGAUUCCACGAUUCUGAAUUAAAGAUUUAUGUUCCAUUUUGAGGUAAAAUAUUUAAUCAAAAAAUAGAGAAAAAAAAAGUUGUUUAAGGGAAUUAAAUAACCUGAAAAUAUUGUCUCAGAUUCAAAAUCACAUUUCCAAAUAUUUUAAAAUUAGCUGCAAAUUCUUAAAUAAUAACAAUAAUAAUCUGCUUUCAAUUACAUAUUGCCCAUGUUUAUCCUGACUGUUCUCUGCUUCAGAGACAAGAGAGAACUCAUCUUCCACCCAACACUCAUGCAUGGGAUGUAAGGUUCUCAAGACCCUGGAGAAGGAGUUAGGAUUAAUGCAGUGACACCAGCUGGACAUCUCCCUUCUGUGUCAGCUCAAGAAAAGGAAAGCGGGGAGCCCAGCUCUACAAUAGAUGGCUGGGUUGGAGCUGGAUGUGUUCCCUAAGAAACAUCCUAAAAUCACAGAAUCACAGAACGGCUUAGACUGGAAAGGACCUUAAACAUUGAGUUCCAAAAUGAAUCAGCCUGGGGAGAAGUUCAGGCCAAAAGCUUGUUCGUGGGUCUGCAGAGAGAAGGAGAGUCCCAACCAUCAGCCAGGUGACCACAUAGGGAAGUCACUGGGACAGGAUUUCAUGCAGACAGCCCUUUCCAGGUGGGCGAAGUGCUCACAGGGACUCAGCAUUUUAGGGAAAAAAAAGAGAGAGAGGGAGAGCGAUGGGAUUAGAGGACAGCGACUGCAGAGAGGAAAGGCAAGCAUAAGAAUUGCUUUCACCGCAAUGCCAAACAAUUAAAGUACAAACUGACAUUUGAUGGAUUUACAAAUGUUCCUUUGGGAUGACCACUUGAAAGCAUUUGAUCCAUGCUGUGAUAUUUUUAUUGGCUUUAAUAAGUUUGGAAUCCAGCCUCUCCUUCCCUCUCCCAAACCACAAACACGAACAAAUUGGGUCUCAGAUGAGGACAUAUCUGUGCCACUUCCCCAACCACAGUCACCAUAGGCGCUGAGAUGCCGAUAGCAUGGCUGUGUUCUACUUUCACCACAGGGAAAUGGGUGAUGUUAGAGCAAAAAAGGAAGAAGAAAAUAUUUCAAUGAUAGAAGAUUUUGGAAGCUGUUAGUUCAUAUAGCCCAAAUGAUCCUAUACGCUGGGGUUGGUGUUAAUGCAUGAGGAUGACUGUGCUCGGGAUCCCUCAGCUUUCUCAGGAGAUGUGAUGCUUGCUAUGGGAAUGAGUGCUUUGCUCUCUUGACUUGCCUCAGCCGUGCAGCCACAUGAGUUUUUACACAUCCCUCGGUUAAAUCUGAACAAAAUUUAGCACUCUGGGACAUACUGCAGAGGCAUCCAUGUGCCCAUUUCUCUGUGGCUUUGUAAACCACAGAAACUGUGGUUCAUCGGGGACAAUGCAGGUGUCAUGUGAAAUUCCUCCUCUGGGAGAUGCUGGCAGUGUUUUUCCCUUGCAUUUUCAAGAAGUAAGAAAGAGUUACAAUGCCAGAGUGGUCCUCCCACAGCCUCUUUUCUUGAGGUUAACUCAUAGGACAUCUCCUCCCUUACAGCCCUGUAGCAUUCAGGAACGGUAUGAAUUCACUCAUUAGCACUGGCAAGGUGUUCAUAGAGUCACAGCAUCGUUAAGGUUGAAAAAGACCUCUAAGACCCCCAGGUCCAACCCCAACCCAUCCCCCCCAUGCCCACUGACUACGUCCCUCAGAGCCACUUCUACACAACCAGUUUCAUCCAACAUGGAGUUCUCUCAUCAGCUCACUCACGAAUACUCAAUUAUUGACCACCCCUGUUUUUCACAUCCUUGUCAACAUUUGCAUAGGUUUCCCUUUCUCAUUCAAGCCUCCUUAUUCCUUCCAGUUUCUGAAUCACACACGGCUUUGACAAUUUGGCCACCUUGGAACCAAAAAUGUGCGUGCUCCCAAGGCAGGGUGCUGCAAGGGAAGGACUGUGUGGGAAUAUAAGAAGCCCCAUAUCUCUCCAAUAUAUUUUUCUUAAAACAAAGCCCACUUGGGCUGCCAAUUUAGCUCAUCUCCAUGAGAAAAAGCUCACACACCCACCAGCAGUGAAUGGACAUGGAUUGGUGAUCUUUGCACAUGUCAAAGAUCUGAAGGGUCAAUAGUUGUGUUUCGUUGAUAAUGGUUGGUACAUCUCUCACUGGAGAGCUGUUCCGAAUGGCAAAGCAUGGCUAUUUGUAUUAUCUCUUUCUUUUGUUGUUGUUGCUGUUGUUCUAUUUUUGAGUGAGCUUUGUCUAACUCCUGUAACAAUCCAUGCACAUAGGCUGAAACUGAAACGGUGCAACAGGAUAUCAGGGAAACAACAAAUUUCACUGAAAAACAUAUACUCCAGUCCAAAAAAAAGAAAAAACUAUAGGAAAGGAACUGGCCUUCUUCCUUUUGUUCUGCUCCUUUAGUUUAAAAACAGGGUAAGUUGAGGGGAGAUGGGCAAUUAUACCACUACACUGUAGUUUACAUUUCUUAACAGUGCAUAUGUAAAAAUUGUUGGAAUGUUGCAUUUCAAUGCAAUAUUUAAAUUGCUGCCGUAGCCCAUGAAUGCCCUACUACACAGAGGGGAGAAAAGGCUGCAGCUCAGUGGGAAUUUCUCAUCAGAUAGUAAAGGUGCUUGUAUGGGCUGAAUAGAUUAAAUCACAGCCAUUGCCCUAAACGUGGAGCUAUAGAGACCCCCUUAUCGCUGCUCCUCCUUCCUGCCCUGCCCUUUCUUCCCCAUGUUCCCCCCAGCAUGCUGCUGGAGGAGGAAGCAUCAGGCUGCACCCCUCGGAUGGACACCAGCUCCUAAAACAAUCCCUGCCCAUUGUAUCUGUUAUCUCCCUUGCAUUUGUUAUCUCAUAUGCUCCUGGGCUGCAUUGUCCCAUAGGAAGGGGACCUGGGGGCUAUUUUCCAGCUCUCAUUGCAGCACAGAAUCCUGCACAGGUACAUAGAGAUGUGGUUGGAGUGGGCAAGGUGAGAUCCUCAGGAAGAACCCAGCUCACAGGUGGGUCACCAGCACACACUCAUUUUGGGACCCUUUGGGUUCAGGGAGCUCAGGGCUGAGGAAUGACUGAAAAAUACACCUGAAAAGGCGUUUCUUUGCCCACGGGGAGGACUUCAUCACUGUGUUUCUCAGUGAGUGCACACAAAAUCAUUCUUUUACCCAGCAACCUGACGGUAUUGAAUUCACCUGCACCACCAGUAUGAAAGUAAACACAUCAAGGGGAAACCUGGGUGUUUCUGCUACAAGUUCUUAUAGGGAACGUAAAGAAGCAAAAAGGACAGACUUCAGGGAGGAAUAAGCGGGCAGCCAACCCCUGUUAUCUCCACACGAUAAAGCAAAAUAUGCAGGAGUGCUCCCAUCUGAAAUCCCUUCUCCGGCUGUGGGUGAGGAGCAGCGGUACUCCAGGAUGGGGAGGAGGAGGUGGGCACAGAGCCAUCCCAGGGGGCCACGUCCUCCCGUCCCAUUAAGCCCGCGGGCAGCUCAGGCUGCGGGAGCAGGCAGGGAGGGAGAUGAAAGGCUCCUGGAAGGAAUCAGGUGCAGGGGGUGGGCAGAUGCUGCUAAAGAGCAAAGGGAUGCGGCCAGGCUCAUUUGUCUGGAAGGGAACCAGCAGGAACUUUCUUUUUAUCUCCAAUUGCGGAUGUUAGGGCCGUUCCUAAAGGCCACGGCCAGUUGGGACCCCACCACUUUCCAUCCAUUAUGGGGAGGGAAACUGCAAUGCAUUUUUUCCCACACCCAUGAUGGGACCCAGCCGGGCUCUGCCUCCCCCAGCCCAAACUGUGCUCCGUCCGUCUGUCCCACAAUGAGUUGAACACAUCCCCACGUUCCUGGCCCUCUCCUCCUGCCCUGCCUGGGGAUUAGCCACGCUCCACCUCAUCUGAGUGCGACUUAGCAGGGCAACCCUUUGCCAGGCAGGCGGAGCAGGGCAUGGCCCCGUCUGUCUGUCCGUCUGUCUGUCCGUCCAUCCGUCUGUCCGUCUGUCUGCCCGGGGAUUAGCUCAACCCCACCUGGGCUGCCUCUGGCUCCUCUCACCGGGAUCUCCUGGACCAUGUGUGCCUCUAGUCUGCAUCGGCUGGCAGGUGGCAGCUGUCUGUCCGUCUGUCUGUCUGGGGGAGACGGACGGGUGCUGCUAUGCCCAUCCCACCACUGUGCCUGUUUGACUGGGAGAGAUGGACAGACACAAGUGCCCAUCCUAUCACCACGCCUGUCUGUCCAGGAGGGGAAGCCAUACGCCUCCACGUCCAUCUGUCUGUCCGUGCCUUAUGCUGCCAUGCCUAUCCAUAAGGAGAUAUUCAGCACAGCCCUGUCUGUUUGCCUGUCUGUACCAUACACUGCCAUGCCUAUCAAUGAGAGGACACUGGGCACAGCCCUGUCCGACUGCCCAUCCAUAAGGGCAACUACACACUGCCAUGCCUAUCUGUGAGGGCUGCUGGGCACAGCCUUGUCCUCUGCCUGGCACUAAGGUCUGGUGUAGGCAGCCCUGGGCACCAGCACAGUCCCCCCUCCCAUCCCCAGGCACAGAUUAAACCUGAGAUUAGGGCCGGGGACUGCUUGGGCACUGCAAACAGCACAGAGCUUACAUUGUACACCCGAUGUCACAACGGGCAGGGACAUAAAUAUCAAUAAAAUACACCUAAAAAAGCCUAUUUUCACCCAUACGAUGAGGCAGAGCUGGACUCCUCCUCCACCCUGGCCAUGCUGGAAACCCACCUCUUACCCCAAAAAACUCAGCGUGAAACCCCUGGGCUGCUGGAUGGGACAUUCGAUGCUGGGGGUGCUCAGUGCAGGACAAAGCUUCUCAGGGAAGGUGCCUGCGGGGAUGGUGCUGGUGGGAGACCAGGGAGAUUCCCUGCUGUUUGAGAGAAGGGAAUUGACCAUUAGGGCUUUUUUCUUUUUCUUUUUUUUUCCCCCACUUUUCCUUUCUUUUUCUUUUUUUUUCCCCCUUUAUUUCUUUCCCCUUUUCCCCAUUUUUUUCUUUGCCUUUGCCUCUUUUCUCUCCUUUUAAAAUUCUUCUUUAUUCCUUUUUAUAUUUUUUCUUUUUUCCCUUUUUUUACCCCUUUUUCUUUCUUCUUUUUCUUUUUUUCUCCUUUUCCCAUUUUUAUUUUUUUCCUCUUUUUUUCUUUUUCUUUUUUACUUUCUUCUUUUUCUUUUUCCCUUUUCCCCUUUUUCUGUUUUAUUCUUUUUCUUUUUUUCCAUUUUCCCUUUUCCCAUUUUUCCCCUUUUUCUCCCCUUUUCCCUUUUCCCCCUUUUUUCCCUUUUCCCCCUUUUUUUCCUUUUUCCCCCAUUUCUUUUCUUUUCUUUUCUUUUCUUUUCUUUUCUUUUCUUUUCUUUUCUUUUCUUUUCUUUUCUUUUCUUUUCUUUUCUUUUCUUUUCUUUUCUUUUCUUUUCUUUUCUU
rnacentral:lncRNA from 1 species